rnacentral:rRNA from 1 species
CCUACGGGAGGCUGCAGUGGGGAAUUUUGGACAAUGGGCGCAAGCCUGAUCCAGCAAUGCCGCGUGCAGGAUGAAGGCCUUCGGGUUGUAAACUGCUUUUGUACGGAGCGAAAAGGCUUCCACUAAUACUGGGGGCUCAUGACGGUACCGUAAGAAUAAGCACCGGCUAACUACGUGCCAGCAGCCGCGGUAAUACGUAGGGUGCAAGCGUUAAUCGGAAUUACUGGGCGUAAAGCGUGCGCAGGCGGUCUUGUAAGACAGGUGUGAAAUCCCCGGGCUUAACCUGGGAACUGCACUUGUGACUGCAAGGCUGGAGUACGGCAGAGGGGGAUGGAAUUCCGCGUGUAGCAGUGAAAUGCGUAGAUAUGCGGAGGAACACCGAUGGCGAAGGCAAUCCCCUGGGCCUGUACUGACGCUCAUGCACGAAAGCGUGGGGAGCAAACAGGAUUAGAUACCCCAGUAGUC